rnacentral:rRNA from 1 species
UAGUAACUUAAAAUUUAAAAGACUUGACGGUACUUCACACCAACCUAGAGGAGCCUGUCUAAUAACCGAUAAUCCACGAUUAACCCAACCCCCUCUAGCCCAACAGUCUAUAUACCGCCGUCGCCAGCUUACCUUGUGAAAGAAGAAAAGUAAGCCCAACAUAUACCACUAUAAUACGACAGGUCGAGGUGUAACUCAUGAUGGGGCCAAGAUGGGCUACAUUUCUUAAUAUAAGAAAAACGAAUAGACUAUGAAACUAGAAACUGAAGGCGGAUUUAGCAGUAAGAAAAGAACAAUAAUACUUUACUGAAAUAAAAGCAAUGAAGUGCGU